rnacentral:rRNA from 1 species
UACGUAGGGGGGCUAGCGUUGUCCGGAAUCAUUGGGCGUAAAGCGCGUGUAGGCGGCCCGGUAAGUCCGCUGUGAAAGUCGGGGGGCUCAACCUCGGAUGCCGGUGGAUACUGUCGGGCUAGAGUGCGGAAGAGGCGAGUGGAAUUCCUGGUGUAGCGGUGAAAUGCGCAGAUAUCAGGGAGGAACACCAAUUGCGAAGGCAGCUCGCUGGGACGUUACUGA